rfam:Calypte anna contig114993, whole genome shotgun sequence.
GCCUAUGGCCAUACCACCCCGAGAAACUUGAUCUCAUCUGAAUUCAGAAGCUAAGCAGGGUCAAGCCCCAGUCAGUACUUGAACAAGAGGCUGCUUGGGAAUACCCAGUGUUGUGGGCU